rnacentral:rRNA from 1 species
CCCUAUGGGGUGCAGCAGGUCGAACACGUCUUCGGUCACAAACUCAAUGUCCAUGUCGUUCAAGCGGGCGUUCUGUCUGGCCAUCUGAAGGGCGUUUUCGCUCACGUCCGCCGCCGUCACGCUCUCCGCGCCGCCUUUUUUGGCGUUUAAGGCGAAGGAGCCGGUGUGGGUGAAGCAGUCCAGCACCCGCUUGCCUUUGGCCAGCCUGGCCGCCGCCAGACGGUUGUAUUUCUGGUCGAGAAAAUAGCCCGUCUUCUGGCCGUUUUCAAAGUCCACCUGACAGACGAUGCCGUUUUCGGUGAUGCGGGUAAAGGCUUCGGCGGGGGGGC